rnacentral:rRNA from 1 species
GAUGAACGCUGGCGGCGUGCUUAACACAUGCAAGUCGAACGGGAAACCUUUUAAUGAAGCUUCGUCAGAUUUAGCUGGUUUCUAUUGGCGGUCGGGUGAUUAACGCUUGGGUAACCUGCCUUAUACAGGGGGAUAACAGUCAGAAAUGACUGCUAAUACCGCAUAAGCGCACAGGACCGCAUGGUCCGUUGUGAAAAACUCCGGUGGUAUAAGAUGGACCGGCGUUGGAUUAGCUUGUCAGUGGGGUAACGGCCCACCAAGGCGACGAUCCACAGACGGCCUGAGAGAGAGAGCGGCCACACUUGGACUGGGCAGCGGUCCAGAAUCUUGCGGGAGGCAGCAGAGGGGAAUAUUGCAAAAUGGGGGAAACCAUGAUGCACCGACGAUGGGUGAAGGCAGAAAUAUCUCAGUAUGUAAACUACUAUCAGCAGGGAAGAUAGUGACGGUACCUGACGAAGAAGCCCCGGCUAACUACGUG